GAUGAACGCUGGCGGCGUGCCUAAUACAUGCAAGUCGAGCGAACAGAUGAGGAGCUUGCUCCUCUGACGUUAGCGGCGGACGGGUGAGUAACACGUGGAUAACCUACCUAUAAGACUGGGAUAACUUCGGGAAACCGGAGCUAAUACCGGAUAAUAUAUUGAACCGCAUGGUUCAAUAGUGAAAGACGGUUUUGCUGUCACUUAUAGAUGGAUCCGCGCCGCAUUAGCUAGUUGGUAAGGUAACGGCUUACCAAGGCAACGAUGCGUAGCCGACCUGAGAGGGUGAUCGGCCACACUGGAACUGAGACACGGUCCAGACUCCUGCGGCACGCAGCAGUACGGAAUCUUCCGCAAUGGGCGAAAGCCUGACGGAGCAACGCCGCGUGAGUGAUGAAGGUCUUCGGAUCGUAAAACUCUGUUAUUAGGGAAGAACAAAUGUGUAAGUAACUAUGCACGUCUUGACGGUACCUAAUCAGAAAGCCACGGCUAACUACGUG
rnacentral:rRNA from 1 species